rnacentral:rRNA from 1 species
UACGGAGGUGGCAAGCGUUAUCCGGAAUUAUUGGGCGUAAAGAGUGAGCAGGCGGCAAGUUAAGUCUGAGGUUAAAGCGUGGGGCUUAACCCCAUAAUGCCUUGGAAACUGACUAGCUAGAGUACGAGAGAAGUAAGCGGAAUUCCAUGUGUAGCGGUGAAAUGCGUAGAUAUAUGGAGGAACACCAGUGGCGAAGGCGGCUUACUAGCCCGAAACUGACGCUCAGUCACGAAAGCGUGGGUAGCAAAUA